AUCAAUGAAAUAAUAUAGAUAUGAAUCCAAAACUUCCACUACAAGGGAGUACAGUAUCCAAAAGAAAUGCAUGAAAAUUCUUAAAUUUCUGGUUCCAAAAUUACAAGCUAUAGCAGAGCUCAUAACUCAAGAAUAGUUGUCCUCCAAGGAUAUGAGCACUACAUCAUCAGUUCGUCACCGUGCACAACACUUCUUAUCUCGGCCAAGCAAACCGAUGCAAAGAUUAUAUAUUCAAAUCUGCAACACAUAAUCUCGUAGCUCAGUCGAAGACAUCAAGUGCAUGUACAAUUGAUAAUAGAAAAUAACAUAAUUGAUGCAAAGAUUACAUAUGAAUUUCAUUUUGAUAAGAAAAGAUUUGAAGUUAAUUAUUACGAGAUCACAAUAACAAACACAUUCAGCUUGUUUGGAUGGAAUUCACUUUGAAAUGAAAUUCAAAUCGUUAGCUCUCGUUUUGAAUCAAUUUACAAGUAAUUUGGCUUCGUUCGUGAAAAGGUGAAAGCAGCCAUACCUUUCUCCUUUGAUGAUUGUCAUCGAGAACGUGUUUGCUGCUACAUUAUCACCUUAUGUUACGAUUUUCUAUUCAAAAGUUUUAAUAAUAAGAAUAAGCUUCAUCAAUGAAUGAAAGAACUACUUAUUUUGCUCUGUUCUAAACCAGACCCCACACUAUGUAAUAUCACUGUGAUUCUUCAAUCUGAAUCCUGCACUCUUGAAAUACAAAAGGAUAUAUUAGCAAAAUGUGCUCUAGAAUUAGAGAUAAAUCUUAUUGCCCCCUAAAACAUCAUUCAUGGAUUCUACAAC
rnacentral:lncRNA from 1 species